UUAAGUUAUUAAGGGCGCACGGUGGAUGCCUUGGCACUAGAAGCCGAUGAAGGACGUUACUAACGACGAUAUGCUUUGGGGAGCUGUAAGUAAGCUUUGAUCCAGAGAUUUCCGAAUGGGGAAACCCAGCAUGAGUUAUGUCAUGUUAUCGAUAUGUGAAUACAUAGCAUAUCAGAAGGCACACCCGGAGAACUGAAACAUCUUAGUACCCGGAGGAAGAGAAAGAAAAUUCGAUUCCCUUAGUAGCGGCGAGCGAAACGGGAAGAGCCCAAACCAACAAGCUUGCUUGUUGGGGUUGUAGGACACUCUGUACGGAGUUACAAAGGACGACAUUAGACGAAUCAUCUGGAAAGAUGAAUCAAAGAAGGUAAUAAUCCUGUAGUCGAAAAUGUUGUCUCUCUUGAGUGGAUCCUGAGUACGACGGAGCACGUGAAAUUCCGUCGGAAUCUGGGAGGACCAUCUCCUAAGGCUAAAUACUCUCUAGUGACCGAUAGUGAACCAGUACCGUGAGGGAAAGGUGAAAAGCACCCCGGAAGGGGAGUGAAAUAGAACCUGAAACCGUGUGCUUACAAGUAGUCAGAGCCCGUUAAUGGGUGAUGGCGUGCCUUUUGUAGAAUGAACCGGCGAGUUACGAUUUGAUGCAAGGUUAAGCAGUAAAUGUGGAGCCGUAGCGAAAGCGAGUCUGAAUAGGGCGUUUAGUAUUUGGUCGUAGACCCGAAACCAGGUGAUCUACCCUUGGUCAGGUUGAAGUUCAGGUAACACUGAAUGGAGGACCGAACCGACUUACGUUGAAAAGUGAGCGGAUGAACUGAGGGUAGCGGAGAAAUUCCAAUCGAACCUGGAGAUAGCUGGUUCUCUCCGAAAUAGCUUUAGGGCUAGCCUCAAGUGAUGAUUAUUGGAGGUAGAGCACUGUUUGGACGAGGGGCCCCUCUCGGGUUACCGAAUUCAGACAAACUCCGAAUGCCAAUUAAUUUAACUUGGGAGUCAGAACAUGGGUGAUAAGGUCCGUGUUCGAAAGGGAAACAGCCCAGACCACCAGCUAAGGUCCCAAAAUAUAUGUUAAGUGGAAAAGGAUGUGGCGUUGCCCAGACAACUAGGAUGUUGGCUUAGAAGCAGCCAUCAUUUAAAGAGUGCGUAAUAGCUCACUAGUCGAGUGACACUGCGCCGAAAAUGUACCGGGGCUAAACAUAUUACCGAAGCUGUGGAUUGUCCUUUGGACAAUGGUAGGAGAGCGUUCUAAGGGCGUUGAAGCAUGAUCGUAAGGACAUGUGGAGCGCUUAGAAGUGAGAAUGCCGGUGUGAGUAGCGAAAGACGGGUGAGAAUCCCGUCCACCGAUUGACUAAGGUUUCCAGAGGAAGGCUCGUCCGCUCUGGGUUAGUCGGGUCCUAAGCUGAGGCCGACAGGCGUAGGCGAUGGAUAACAGGUUGAUAUUCCUGUACCACCUAUAAUCGUUUUAAUCGAUGGGGGGACGCAGUAGGAUAGGCGAAGCGUGCGAUUGGAUUGCACGUCUAAGCAGUAAGGCUGAGUAUUAGGCAAAUCCGGUACUCGUUAAGGCUGAGCUGUGAUGGGGAGAAGACAUUGUGUCUUCGAGUCGUUGAUUUCACACUGCCGAGAAAAGCCUCUAGAUAGAAAAUAGGUGCCCGUACCGCAAACCGACACAGGUAGUCAAGAUGAGAAUUCUAAGGUGAGCGAGCGAACUCUCGUUAAGGAACUCGGCAAAAUGACCCCGUAACUUCGGGAGAAGGGGUGCUCUUUAGGGUUAACGCCCAGAAGAGCCGCAGUGAAUAGGCCCAAGCGACUGUUUAUCAAAAACACAGGUCUCUGCUAAACCGUAAGGUGAUGUAUAGGGGCUGACGCCUGCCCGGUGCUGGAAGGUUAAGAGGAGUGGUUAGCUUCUGCGAAGCUACGAAUCGAAGCCCCAGUAAACGGCGGCCGUAACUAUAACGGUCCUAAGGUAGCGAAAUUCCUUGUCGGGUAAGUUCCGACCCGCACGAAAGGCGUAACGAUUUGGGCACUGUCUCAACGAGAGACUCGGUGAAAUCAUAGUACCUGUGAAGAUGCAGGUUACCCGCGACAGGACGGAAAGACCCCGUGGAGCUUUACUGUAGCCUGAUAUUGAAAUUCGGCACAGCUUGUACAGGAUAGGUAGGAGCCUUUGAAACGUGAGCGCUAGCUUACGUGGAGGCGCUGGUGGGAUACUACCCUAGCUGUGUUGGCUUUCUAACCCGCACCACUUAUCGUGGUGGGAGACAGUGUCAGGCGGGCAGUUUGACUGGGGCGGUCGCCUCCUAAAAGGUAACGGAGGCGCUCAAAGGUUCCCUCAGAAUGGUUGGAAAUCAUUCAUAGAGUGUAAAGGCAUAAGGGAGCUUGACUGCGAGACCUACAAGUCGAGCAGGGUCGAAAGAUGGACUUAGUGAUCCGGUGGUUCCGCAUGGAAGGGCCAUCGCUCAACGGAUAAAAGCUACCCCGGGGAUAACAGGCUUAUCUCCCCCAAGAGUUCACAUCGACGGGGAGGUUUGGCACCUCGAUGUCGGCUCAUCGCAUCCUGGGGCUGUAGUCGGUCCCAAGGGUUGGGCUGUUCGCCCAUUAAAGCGGUACGCGAGCUGGGUUCAGAACGUCGUGAGACAGUUCGGUCCCUAUCCGUCGUGGGCGUAGGAAAUUUGAGAGGAGCUGUCCUUAGUACGAGAGGACCGGGAUGGACAUACCUCUGGUGUACCAGUUGUCGUGCCAACGGCAUAGCUGGGUAGCUAUGUGUGGACGGGAUAAGUGCUGAAAGCAUCUAAGCAUGAAGCCCCCCUCAAGAUGAGAUUUCCCAACUUCGGUUAUAAGAUCCCUCAAAGAUGAUGAGGUUAAUAGGUUCGAGGUGGAAGCAUGGUGACAUGUGGAGCUGACGAAUACUAAUCGAUCGAAGACUUAAUCAA
rnacentral:rRNA from 1 species